UCAUAGCACGUAACAGGGCAGUAAAAUCAGCAGUGUAAUAUUUGCAGUGUUAAAAGUUAUUAAUUCCCAAAGAUUUGAAUUAACAAUCCACAGUGUUAAACAGUACUCGUGUUCAGUGUUGUUAUAUGGUGUAAUUUCACUUUUACACUAAAAGUGCGAAAUAAAAGACCCGCCGAAUUGUCUGGACUCCGCCCUUCAGUGACUGCUGCCUCCCGAAGCGACAACGCCAUCUUUUCUUCGAGCGACCGAGACGUUGGUCGUCCUCUCGCCUCUGUUCCCUCCUCGGCCUGGGGUUACUGCGAAUCUGGCGCUGAAGACUGAAGCUGCUAACGUUAUAUUCGCCUCAGAAGACCUUCAAGGAUCCAGUUGACCUCUGAAUCAGCUGUUAAGAAAAUGGGACAGUUAUAUUGCUUCAAUUGGUCUCCUACUUCAUUUGAUUCCACCAUCAUUACAAGGCUGCAAGGGAUCUGGAAAAAUGUCAUCCUGUCAAGCUGAAAAACAUCUUCAAAAAGGCACUAACAAGAACAGCUUGAUUGCAGAGAAGAGACCACACAGCCAUACACACGCU